rnacentral:rRNA from 1 species
AUGAACGCUGGCGGCGUGCCUAAUACAUGCCAGUCGAGCGAACAGACGAGGAGCUUGCCCCUUUGACGUUAGCGGCGGACGGGUGAGUAACACGUGGAUAACCUACCUAUAAGACUGGGAUAACUUCGGGAAACCGGAGCUAAUACCGGAUAACAUGUUGAACCGCAUGGUUCAACAGUGAAAGACGGUCUUGCUGUCACUUAUGGAUGGAUCCGCGCCGCAUUAGCUAGUUGGUAAGGUAACGGCUUACCAAGGCAACGAUGCGUAGCCGACCUGAGAGGGUGAUCGGCCACACUGGAACUGAGACACGGUCCAGACUCCUACGGGAGGCAGCAGUAGGGAAUCUUCCGCAAUGGGCGAAAGCCUGACGGAGCAACGCCGCGUGAGUGAAGAAGGUCUUCGGAUCGUAAAACUCUGUUAUUAGGGAAGAACAAAUGUGUAAGUAACUAUGCACGUCUUGACGGUACCUAAUCAGAAAGCCACGGCUAACUACGUG